rnacentral:rRNA from 1 species
UAAGGGAUAUUGGGCAAUGGGCGAAAGCCUGACCCAGCAACGCCGCGUGGAGGAAGAAGGGCUUCGGCUCGUAAACUCCUUUUAGGGGGACGAGAAAGGACGGUACUCCCUGAACAAGUCACGGCUAACUACGUGCCAGCAGCCGCGGUAAAACGUAGGUGACAAGCGUUAUCCGGAUUUACUGGGCGUAAAGCGUGUGCAGGCUGUGCUUCAAGUGGUGUAUGAAAGCGCUCGGCUUAACCGGGCAAGGUUAUGCCAGACUGAAGUGCUAGAGGCGGAAAGAGGGACGUGGAAUUCCGGGUGUAGUGGUGAAAUGCGUAGAGAUCCGGAGGAACACCAGAGGCGAAGGCGGCGUCCUAGGCUCUGGCCUGACGCUCAGACACGAAAGCAUGGGGAGCGAAC